CUACGCCUAUAUGAAGUCGGAAUUGCUAGUAAUCGCAGAUCAGCAUGCUGCGGUGAAUACGUUCCCGGGCCUUGUACACACCGCCCGUCACACCAUGAGAGUCGAUAACACCCGAAGCCUGUAGUCUAACCAUAAGGAGGACGCAGUCGAAGGUGGGAUUGAUAAUUAGGGUGAAGUCGUAACAAGGUACC
rnacentral:rRNA from 1 species